GGCUCAGAUUGAACGCUGGCGGCAGGCCUAACACAUGCAAGUCGAGCGGUAGCACAGAGAGCUUGCUCUCGGGUGACGAGCGGCGGACGGGUGAGUAAUGUCUGGGAAACUGCCUGAUGGAGGGGGAUAACUACUGGAAACGGUAGCUAAUACCGCAUAACGUCGCAAGACCAAAGUGGGGGACCUUCGGGCCUCAUGCCAUCAGAUGUGCCCAGAUGGGAUUAGCUAGUAGGUGGGGUAAUGGCUCACCUAGGCGACGAUCCCUAGCUGGUCUGAGAGGAUGACCAGCCACACUGGAACUGAGACACGGUCCAGACUCCUACGGGAGGCAGCAGUGGGGAAUAUUGCACAAUGGGCGCAAGCCUGAUGCAGCCAUGCCGCGUGUAUGAAGAAGGCCUUCGGGUUGUAAAGUACUUUCAGCGAGGAGGAAGGCAUUAAGGUUAAUAACCUUGGUGAUUGACGUUACUCGCAGAAGAAGCACCGGCUAACUCCGUGCCAGCAGCCGCGGUAAUACGGAGGGUGCAAGCGUUAAUCGGAAUUACUGGGCGUAAAGCGCACGCAGGCGGUCUGUCAAGUCGGAUGUGAAAUCCCCGGGCUCAACCUGGGAACUGCAUUCGAAACUGGCAGGCUAGAGUCUUGUAGAGGGGGGUAGAAUUCCAGGUGUAGCGGUGAAAUGCGUAGAGAUCUGGAGGAAUACCGGUGGCGAAGGCGGCCCCCUGGACAAAGACUGACGCUCAGGUGCGAAAGCGUGGGGAGCAAACAGGAUUAGAUACCCUGGUAGUCCACGCCGUAAACGAUGUCGACUUGGAGGUUGUGCCCUUGAGGCGUGGCUUCCGGAGCUAACGCGUUAAGUCGACCGCCUGGGGAGUACGGCCGCAAGGUUAAAACUCAAAUGAAUUGACGGGGGCCCGCACAAGCGGUGGAGCAUGUGGUUUAAUUCGAUGCAACGCGAAGAACCUUACCUACUCUUGACAUCCAGAGAACUUAGCAGAGAUGCUUUGGUGCCUUCGGGAACUCUGAGACAGGUGCUGCAUGGCUGUCGUCAGCUCGUGUUGUGAAAUGUUGGGUUAAGUCCCGCAACGAGCGCAACCCUUAUCCUUUGUUGCCAGCGGUUCGGCCGGGAACUCAAAGGAGACUGCCAGUGAUAAACUGGAGGAAGGUGGGGAUGACGUCAAGUCAUCAUGGCCCUUACGAGUAGGGCUACACACGUGCUACAAUGGCAUAUACAAAGAGAAGCGACCUCGCGAGAGCAAGCGGACCUCAUAAAGUAUGUCGUAGUCCGGAUUGGAGUCUGCAACUCGACUCCAUGAAGUCGGAAUCGCUAGUAAUCGUAGAUCAGAAUGCUACGGUGAAUACGUUCCCGGGCCUUGUACACACCGCCCGUCACACCAUGGGAGUGGGUUGCAAAAGAAGUAGGUAGCUUAACCUUCGGGAGGGCGCUUACCACUUUGUGAUUCAUGACUGGGGUGAAGUCGUAACAAGGUAACCGUAGGGGAACCUGCGGCUGGA
rnacentral:rRNA from 1 species